rnacentral:rRNA from 1 species
UGGGGAAUCUUAGACAAUGGGCGCAAGCCUGAUCUAGCCAUGCCGCGUGUGUGAUGAAGGUCUUAGGAUCGUAAAGCACUUUCGCCAGGGAUGAUAAUGACAGUACCUGGUAAAGAAACCCCGGCUAACUCCGUGCCAGCAGCCGCGGUAAUACGGAGGGGGUUAGCGUUGUUCGGAAUUACUGGGCGUAAAGCGUACGUAGGCGGAUUGGAAAGUUGGGGGUGAAAUCCCAGGGCUCAACCCUGGAACUGCCUCCAAAACUAUCAGUCUAGAGUUCGAGAGAGGUGAGUGGAAUUCCAAGUGUAGAGGUGAAAUUCGUAGAUAUUUGGAGGAACACCAGUGGCGAAGGCGGCUCACUGGCUCGAUACUGACGCUGAGGUACGAAAGUGUGGGGAGCAAACAGGAUUAGAUACCCUGGUAGUCCACACCGUAAACGAUGAAUGCCAGUCGUCGGGCAGUAUACUGUUCGGUGACACACCUAAC